CGGACGGGUGAGUAACACGUAGGUAACCUGCCCAGAAGCGGGGGACAACAUUUGGAAACAGAUGCUAAUACCGCAUAACARCGUUGUUCGCAUGAACAACGCUUAAAAGAUGGCUUCUCGCUAUCACUUCUGGAUGGACCUGCGGUGCAUUAGCUUGUUGGUGGGGUAAYGGCCUACCAAGGCGAUGAUGCAUAGCCGAGUUGAGAGACUGAUCGGCCACAAUGGGACUGAGACACGGCCCAUACUCCUACGGGAGGCAGCAGUAGGGAAUCUUCCACAAUGGGCGCAAGCCUGAUGGAGCAACACCGCGUGAGUGAAGAAGGGUUUCGGCUCGUAAAGCUCUGUUGUUAAAGAAGAACACGUAUGAGAGUAACUGUUCAUACGUUGACGGUAUUUAACCAGAAAGUCACGGCUAACUACGUGCCAGCAGCCGCGGUAAUACGUAGGUGGCAAGCGUUAUCCGGAUUUAUUGGGCGUAAAGAGAGUGCAGGCGGUUUUCUAAGUCUGAUGUGAAAGCCUUCGGCUUAACCGGAGAAGUGCAUCGGAAACUGGAUAACUUGAGUGCAGAAGAGGGUAGUGGAACUCCAUGUGUAGCGGUGGAAUGCGUAGAUAUAUGGAAGAACACCAGUGGCGAAGGCGGCUACCUGGUCUGCAACUGACGCUGAGACUCGAAAGCAUGGGUAGCGAACAGGAUUAGAUACCCUGGUAGUCCAUGCCGUAAACGAUGAGUGCUAGGUGUUGGAGGGUUUCCGCCCUUCAGUGCCGGAGCUAACGCAUUAAGCACUCCGCCUGGGGAGUACGACCGCAAGGUUGAAACUCAAAGGAAUUGACGGGGGCCCGCACAAGCGGUGGAGCAUGUGGUUUAAUUCGAAGCUACGCGAAGAACCUUACCAGGUCUUGACAUCUUGCGCCAACCCUAGAGAUAGGGCGUUUCCUUCGGGAACGCAAUGACAGGUGGUGCAUGGUCGUCGUCAGCUCGUGUCGUGAGAUGU
rnacentral:rRNA from 1 species